UGGGGAAUUUUCCGCAAUGGGCGAAAGCCUGACGGAGCAAUACCGCGUGAGGGAGGAAGGCUCUUGGGUUGUAAACCUCUUUUCUCAGGGAAGAAUCCUGACGGUACCUGAGGAAUCAGCAUCGGCUAACUCCGUGCCAGCAGCCGCGGUAAUACGGAGGGUGCGAGCGUUAAUCGGAAUUACUGGGCGUAAAGCGCAUGCAGGUGGUUUGUUAAGUCAGAUGUGAAAGCCCGGGGCUCAACCUCGGAAUAGCAUUUGAAACUGGCAGACUAGAGUACUGUAGAGGGGGGUAGAAUUUCAGGUGUAGCGGUGAAAUGCGUAGAGAUCUGAAGGAAUACCGGUGGCGAAGGCGGCCCCCUGGACAGAUACUGACACUCAGAUGCGAAAGCGUGGGGAGCAAACAGGAUUAGAUACCCCGGUAGUCC
rnacentral:rRNA from 1 species